rnacentral:rRNA from 1 species
CGGGACGGGUGAGUAACACGUGGAUAACCUACCUAUAAGACUGGGAUAACUUCGGGAAACCGGAGCUAAUACCGGAUAAUAUAUUGAACCGCAUGGUUCAAUAGUGAAAGACGGUUUUGCUGUCACUUAUAGAUGGAUCCGCGCUGCAUUAGCUAGUUGGUAAGGUAACGGCUUACCAAGGCAACGAUGCGUAGCCGACCUGAGAGGGUGAUCGGCCACACUGGAACUGAGACACGGUCCAGACUCCUACGGGAGGCAGCAGGG